UUGGUCUGGGCUGGGUCAUAUUCCACCCAACGCAGAGUUUCCCCAGUGGGCAGACUUUUGUUUUUGAUGGUGGUCCUGCAGGGUUCUAAGUCAGUGGCAGGUCACCUUCACUCUGAGCACUCCCUUCCCAGCCAUUUAUGAAAG